ensembl:lncRNA
GAACACAAAAAAUGGCACGUCUGGAAAGAGCCAUCCCUGGCUGGGAGCAGCCAGCAGAUGUGAACAUCCAUCUGACAUCCAUCCACCAGUGCCCACCACUCCUCAAGCAUCUGAAGGGCCACCAGGACCUCUCCUGGUCCUGCUACAAGAACCACAAAACUUCUGUUUGGCCACUUCCAGGACCCACCAGAGACCAACUAUAGAUACAAUAAAAAUAAAAGCUGACGUGGGACUGGAAAGCCUUUCCUCAUUCCCAGAGAAACAGAAGAAAUGAAGCAUUUGUGAACAUUCAAUUCUAACUCACCCAACAGUCACAAAAUCCUUUUUGGGAUCCCCAGCGCCCAAACCUCAGCUGCCACAAAACUGACGUUGGUGAUACGGGAGCAGAUGUUCCCUCACCUUUGUAUUUUUACUGGUAACGACUGAUUCAAGUUUCUGGGCACAAAACCAGUUGGAAGGAGCCCGUUCCCAGAGAUAUAUCCCUGCUAAAAACACCAGAGCUGGAUGCCACUGUGACAUGAGGGAUUGAUGUGCCACCUCCUUUCUCCACCUCCAGCCUGAAUGCCAUCCUGCCUUUCCCUUAAACUCGGCAGGAAGGAGCCAAACCGCAGCAACUGUCGGCAUUUGGCUUUAUCUGCUACAAAAUGUCAAACUCUUCACCAGGAACUGCAACAUUUCCAUCCUCCCUCGCUCCAAAGCAGGAACACUGGUACAAAGAAGCCAAAAAUGUACCAGAAAAAAGAAAGCAUCACCUACACCAGCCACAAAUGGACUGAAGAUGAUGGAGGUCCCUCCUGGGCAACAAAGGGUCCUGCAGGGGAAAAGCCCACCUGAGUUUUUCCACAUUCCCUUGUGUCACCUCUGAAUUUGCUUCCCAUGCAACCAUUUAUACAGAAAUGUGAGUGCACGUGUGGCACGCUGUGGAAAUAUUAUGACUAAUGGAUGGAACCUGUGCAAUGUGUCAAAAUCUUCCCUCUCUCCCCAUGUAACAGCAUCUCACACGCACUUGAGACAUUGGCACCUACGUUUAAUCUGUUUGCUUGUGAGGGGAUGGAAUGCAUUUAAUGAAUUACAGUGAUUUUAUGUCUCACCAGUAGAUUCUGCUCUGCCAUGGCAGCAGAGAAGCCACAGGUUCCCCCCAGUCCAUUGCUGUAGGAUCAACAGGCUCUGAUCCUUCCUUAUUUAUUUUGGAAGAGCACAUCAGGGCACAACACAUCAUUUGAUUUUUAUUUUUAAUUUUUUUUUCCCUGCUAAUACCCCAUUUUCCCCAUCUCUGAUCUUUGAUGGCACGGGACUGCAUCUCCUCAUCACUCCUGCACACACACAGUGCCCAUCCUGCAUUGCUGGGACUGCACAGGCUCUUCCAGCAGGGAGAAAACUCUUGCCCAAGGUUUUUCUGGGACCAUUUAUAGUCUCAUAACAAUGAUGUGUACCAACACGUCUGAAAUCCCCUCAGCUCCUGCUUUGCACAGGCACAUUCCCAGCAUCACUGGGACAAAUCUGGGCUCCAGCACCCAGACCUGGCCAGGUCUGCAGCAGUGGGAGAGGCAGAGAAACACCUCAGCACCUUCUGCGUUUAUCAGGGAUAAAAUCACCCAUUUCCCUCCUUUGCAGCAUCCUCUCCCUCCCGAGCUGAGCACCAAGGAGCAGAAGUUUCUUCACUCGGCCAUCGAGGCACAUUUGAAGGCAUCUCCUCUCCUCUGUGCCCAGGCUGCUUGGAAAGGUAAUUAAUGCAUCUCAGGUGGGUAAUUAAUUCAUCUCGGGUGGAUAAUUAAUGCAGCCCUGUGGCAGAAUCACCUAAAUAUUAACGAGACUUUGUGGUUUGACCUCCCUGGGUCAGCACUGCCGGAGCUCUGCUCUGCUGGGCCCAGCACUGGGAUCCUGUUUGGAGGCAAACCAAUAACUCAUCCAAACCCUGAGGAAAAGCCAUCCCAGUGGGAUGAUGAUCCUACACCCAGCCACGGUGGGAUCACCCAAAAAUGGGAUUACAGCCCAAAUACCACUCUGAAUGCGAGUCCUCACAAGCCUCGGUCCACAUUCCCAGUUUGCAUCAAGAUCCACUCAUGUAAUUCCUGGGAUUUUUUUCUGAUGGGAGAAGCAGCUGCAGGUCAUGGACAAGGCCUGGAGAAGAGCCUCCUGUGACAAGAGAGGGAAUUGCUGAAGGACUGAGGAAAACCAGAGGCACACCUGGAACUCAUCUCUCUCCUCCUUGCCAAGAGAAGCCCCAGGAAUCACUUGGCUUUCUGAUGCCAUCUUGUGUCUGCUGCAGAUGUGAAGUGACAUUUCAGACCCUGCCAGCAGCUUGUUGUGACUCAAAACCUUCUUUUUCAACCCAAUUCCCCCUUCUGCAGCCUCUAUUCCUGCGAUGUCUUUCUACAGGCUCCUGUUUCUUCCCCGGGGCAGGGAUGUGACUCUGUGGACAUCAGGGUCCCUGCCCCAACCAACAUUUGGCCAAAUUCUGGGGAGAGCCGCAAGUAUUCCUCAAAUCCCAGGAAAUCCCGAGUUUUCCUGCUGUGUUUGUCAAGUCUCAUGUCCAGAGCAGCAAUGACAGUUCUGAACAGCUUAAAUAAAGCAAAACAUUGUGAAUGUCCCUGGGGAGUGACCGAGGAUGGGGACAGAGGCUCUUUUAUGUGAAAUGUUGCCUCUAACUGGUUUUCCCGGCACUGUCUCCUCCAGCUCCAGGUGGCAGCUUGGGCACAGAUAAUCCCGUGGAGCACAGUGAUGGAAUUUGUGGAGAUUACAAAGCCUGGAAACAUUUCCAUGGAACAUCCAGCUCUGGUCAGACAAACAGUGAAGAGCAAAGCCAGCAAGGAGCAUCUCCUCUCCAUCCCCUGCAGCUCCUGAGGUAGCUUUUGGGGGACAAAUUUAAUCUUUUCCACUCGAUUUUAAUCAGCUCAUCAGCAAUGGGCACUGACAGCAUGCCAGCUAAGAGGUUUAUGUCUGUUAUUCCCUGAAGAUUAGCCUUUGGAAUCCAAGAGAGGGAAGUGGCUGCAUCUCCAGCUCAGUGGAGAUCCCUCCUCCAGCCUGAGGAUCCCAUAUGGACUCUAUAGGGUGAGGGGAUGCCUUCCCAACAGUCUCAGUGGGGCACACAGCGUGUGUGGGUUUGUUCUUGUGCCCUUCUGUGUGUGCACACUUAGGGAGGAACUAAAACAGCAAAACCCGACCCUAAAAUGUCCCAAAAGCUUCUUGCCCCCAUCUGACACCUGAAGCAGUCUGGGGUACGUGGCCCGCCAUCCCUCCGUGUCACUGCGCCGCCGGUGUCACCCGGGGCUCGCUCGGUGCGCAGGGUGGCACUAUUGCCUUAAAAAUCCCGGCCAGGGCAGCGCAGGCGUUUCUGCCCCGCGCUUUGGGUGGGAAAGCUGCGGUGGAUCCUCCCGAACUGCCCCAAGGGCUGAUGCGGGGCACUGCCGGCACUCAGGACCCUGCGUGGAUCAACAUCGCGGCUUCUCCCUCAGCAUCCUCCCAAAACUCCCAGCUCGAGCCACUCGAGGAUUCUGAGAGCGUCCCAAGCACCAGCUCCUCCCCACGAGCGUCCCAAGCACCAGCUCCUCCCCACGAGCGUCCUUCCAUCCACUCGAGGAUUCUGCGAGCGUCCCAAGCACCAGCUCCUCCCCACGAGCAUCCAAGCACCAUUUCCUCCCCAGGAGCAUCCCUCCAUCCACUCGAGGAUUCUGCGAGUGUCCCAAGCACCAUUUCCUCCCCAGGAGCAUCCCUCCAUCCACUCGAGGAUUCUGCGAGCGUCCCAAGCACCAGCUCCUCCCCACGAGCGUCCCAAGCACCAUUUCCUCUCCACGAGCGUCCCCCCAUCCACUCGAGGAUUCUGUGAGCAUCCCUCCAUCCACUCGAGGAUUCUGCGAGCGUCCCAAGCACCAGCUCCUCCCCACGAGCAUCCCUCCAUCCCUGCACAGCAGAACAUCCUCCCCGCACCCAGCGCUGCUCCAAGAGCCUUUUUAAAAGGACCCCAAUUCCCCACUGUCCCGGGGUGGAGGAAAAGCAUUUAAGGAUGGAUUAUCCCUGGGAAAACGGGAUCCAGGGGGAAGCAGCUGUUGGGAGCUGCUUGAGCCCAGCAUUGGGCACAGGAGCUCGUGGGUGGUGCAGCUUUUCUGUCCUGCGCCGCCCCAGAUCCGACUUCUCUGAUGCAGAGUCCGGGUCAGGAGCAGCACCGUGAAUUUGAUUUAAGAUCGGAACGGAGAUGUCCCUGUGACAGCCACUGCCACCGCCGGGGCUCGCAGCGAAAAACAAAAGUUUCAUUCCUGCCAGCCGCAGCUUUUCCAGCAGCAGCUGCGCCGCUCGGGGGUCAAAAUCCCUCCCCGGAGGGAGCAGCGCCCCGCGGACAGGUGUCAGGACAACUCCAAUUUGCAGCACUCUCGUGGGAGACCCUGCAAAUAUUUUAACCAGGUCCUGGGCUGCAGAGGCUUUGCAAUGCUGCAGGGGGUGUGUGGAGGCAGAUUAGUGCACGGCCCUACGCUCUUCUCCCUUCAACCUGGAGAUGAAAUCACAACAAGGGCAGAGCUGAGAGACAAAGCUGACCCCAAAACUGCAGCGGGGUGUUAAAGUGCGUCAGGAAUGUGAUUCUCCUUGAACUCCUCGGGAGGGCCAAAGCAGCUUGGAUCUGGCAGUAAGAACCUGCAAACAUCCCUGGCCUUGCUGCUCCAAACCUGUUUGUUCUCCCCUCCUCUCCCCUGUGAAAUCCUGGCGGUUUGAGGGUCUGUUCUUGCAAAGCAGAGCUUUGUGUGUGCUGGAACGGUGCCCGGCAUCCACGAGGGCAGAUGUUGGGGGGAGAUUAAGUCUAGAAAGUCUUUCUUCAAAUUCACAGAGCUGCUGGCCA